UGGGGAAUUUUGGACAAUGGGCGCAAGCCUGAUCCAGCCAUGCCGCGUGCGGGAAGAAGGCCUUCGGGUUGUAAACCGCUUUUGUCAGGGAAGAAAUCUUCUGAGUUAAUACCUCGGGAGGAUGACGGUACCUGAAGAAUAAGCACCGGCUAACUACGUGCCAGCAGCCGCGGUAAUACGUAGGGUGCAAGCGUUAAUCGGAAUUACUGGGCGUAAAGCGUGCGCAGGCGGUUUUGUAAGACAGAGGUGAAAUCCCCGGGCUCAACCUGGGAACUGCCUUUGUGACUGCAAGGCUUGAGUGCGGCAGAGGGGGAUGGAAUUCCGCGUGUAGCAGUGAAAUGCGUAGAUAUGCGGAGGAACGCCGAUGGCGAAGGCAAUCCCCUGGGCCUGCACUGACGCUCAUGCACGAAAGCGUGGGGAGCAAACAGGAUUAGAUAGCCCUGGUAGUCCACGCCCUAAACGAUGUCAACUGGUUGUUGGGAAGGUUCCUCCUCAGUAACGUAGCUAACGCGUGAAGUUGACCGCCUGGGGAGUACGGCCGCAA
rnacentral:rRNA from 1 species